GGCCGCGAUCGGCAAGCAUGACAACCCGUAAGAUUGGCAAAAGCCGCGAAAGCUGCAAGCGUUACAGCAGCAAAACGACCGGAACGGUUAACGCAGGUUCAAUUCCUGCUCCGGUCA
rnacentral:tRNA from 1 species